GACGAACGCUGGCGGCGUGCUUAACACAUGCAAGUCGAACGGAAAGGCUCUGCUUUUGUGGGGUGCUCGAGUGGCGAACGGGUGAGUAACACGUGAGUAACCUGCCCUUGACUUUGGGAUAACUUCAGGAAACUGGGGCUAAUACCGGAUAGGAGCUCCUGCUGCAUGGUGGGGGUUGGAAAGUUUCGGCGGUUGGGGAUGGACUCGCGGCUUAUCAGCUUGUUGGUGGGGUAGUGGCUUACCAAGGCUUUGACGGGUAGCCGGCCUGAGAGGGUGACCGGCCACAUUGGGACUGAGAUGCGGCCCAGACUCCUACGGGAGGCAGCAGUGGGGAAUAUUGCACAAUGGGCGGAAGCCUGAUGCAGCAACGCCGCGUGCGGGAUGACGGCCUUCGGGUUGUAAACCGCUUUCGCCUGUGACGAAGCGUGAGUGACGGUAAUGGGUAAAGAAGCACCGGCUAACUACGUG
rnacentral:rRNA from 1 species